AGACUCCUCAACCCCAUCGAUAAGCCAGGGAUGUCGAUGAGAACGCAGAGUGCUCAGUAACGGAUGAGCCACCAAAGAAGUCAAUAACUCAGGCACUGCCGCCAUCAGGGUCUGGGCUAGAGGUAAGAUAGCCUCCGACGUCAAGGCUAGUGAUGGUGGAGCGGUGGUGGCAGUAAUAGUAGAUGGUGGAGGUGUCGAAUGGGACCUACUCACUGACCUAUACUACCUAAUCAACUGCGACAUCUACAAAAUCCAAUUGAACGACCAACAUUUAAAACUAUGUUAUUAAUACCAAUUUAUAUAGUUAAUACAAAAUCCUAAAUUUUAAAAAGUAAAAAUUGAACCAUAUAAUUAUACAAUUAACACAAAAUUUAUGAACUUGUAAAGGCACCCUAAAAUUAUAAAAUUAAUACAAAUUUUUUUAAAUAUAUACCUACAACCUAAAUAUUAAUCCUAAACUUAUAAAAUUAAAUUACAAGGGUAAACCAGGAUGUAAAAGUUAACAAAUUAAUCCCAACAAAUAAUACUUCAUCCAAAUCUUUUUUUAUUUUAUUUUAACCCUACAUUAAUAAUAUUAUACCUACAACUAAAAUCUUAAUCCUAAAAUAAAAAAAAUAAAUACAAUUCUAAACCUAUGAUUUUAAAGUUAACAAAUGAACAAGGUCAACUUGCAAAAUAUAAAAAAAAAUCUAAACUAAAAAUCUAAACCUAUAAUUGUAAAAAUAUAAAAUAAUCCCUAACACUAAUAUGUUAACACUACUACAAUAUUAGUUUUAGGUGGCGGAUAUUAGAAAAAUUUUGUCGGAUAAAUUGUAUCCGACACAUCUUUUAAUUAGUGGCGGAUAUGAAAAAAAAUCUUGUCGAUUUUAUCCGACAUAAAGUCCUGGCGGAUAUUUAGUGGCGGAUAUAAAAAAAAAUCAUGUCGCUUAUAAUCGACAAUAUAUUUGAAUCUUUUUUUUUAAAUAUUUUUGACAGAUUCUAGCGGUUUUUAAGUUAAUGGUGGCUAUUAUAACCGACAGAAAUUGACUAUUUUAUUAUUUUACUUUUUGGUGGUUAUUAUUUUAGUAUUAUGGCAGUUAUAACCGACGGAAAUGAAAAUUUUAUUAUUUUAAAAUGUUAUAUUGAUUAAAAUGGGAUCCUUCCCCACUUCCAUCAACCGGCCUUCUUUCUUUUUCUACAAACAUCAUCAUGACCUUUUUAUCUUUUCAACAGCGCUAUCAUUACUUUUUAUUAAAUCUCUCUCACUUCUUCUCUCAUGUCUCAUCCUCCCAAUUUUAUUUUAUUUCUUCUCCCCAUAUCAGCCGGCUCUCUUCCCUCACAUCUUUCUCUCUCUCUCUGACACACACACCCCACUUUCCCAUGCACUCUUCCCUCCCUCACGUCAUUCCUUCUCAGCCACUCAAUCUCUCUCUAUUUUAUAUCUUUCUUUCCCUCAAACUCUUUCAUUUCAUCUGCACGCACAGAUAGCAGUGUUGCAGAGAGCAACGUAGAGAAGGAGGGAGAAAGGCUGAGAGUAUGUAAAAGAGCAAAGGCUCUUGUUUGUUAUCAUGCAAAGGAGUUAGUCAGUAUGCAUGUAUGCUUAAGUUCUGGAGAUUUUUGGAUAGGUUGUCUUGUUAAAGCUUGAAUUAUCAAGGUGAGUGGGAUCUUACAUCUCUUCUCUUC
rnacentral:lncRNA from 1 species